rnacentral:rRNA from 1 species
UAAGGAAUAUUGCUCAAUGGGAGAAAUCCUGAAGCAGCAACGCCGCGUGGAGGAUGAAGGGUCUAUGACUUGUAAACUCCUGUAAAGAAGGAAAAAAUUCCCAUUUGAUGGGAGAUGAUGGUACUUCUGGAGUAAGCCCCGGCUAACUACGUGCCAGCAGCCGCGGUAAUACGUAGGGGGCAAGCGUUGUCCGGAUUUACUGGGUGUAAAGGGUGCUCAGGCGGAUUUGUAAGUCAGAGGUGAAAUCUUACAGCUUAACUGUGAAACUGCCUUUGAUACUGCAAGCCUAGAGUAUGGAAGAGNGUGAUGGAAUAUCUGGUGUAGCAGUGAAAUGCGUAGAUAUCAGAUAGAACACCAAUGGCGAAGGCAGUCACUUGGUCCAUUACUGACGCUAAAGCACGAAAGCGUGGGUAGCAAACA